rnacentral:rRNA from 1 species
AGUGAACGCUGGCGGUAGGCCUAACACAUGCAAGUCGAACGGCAGCACAGUAAGAGCUUGCUCUUACGGGUGGCGAGUGGCGGACGGGUGAGGAAUACAUCGGAAUCUACUUUUUCGUGGGGGAUAACGUAGGGAAACUUACGCUAAUACCGCAUACGACCUACGGGUGAAAGCAGGGGAUCUUCGGACCUUGCGCGAUUGAAUGAGCCGAUGUCGGAUUAGCUAGUUGGCGGGGUAAAGGCCCACCAAGGCGACGAUCCGUAGCUGGUCUGGGAGGAUGAUCAGCCGCACUGGAACUGAGACACGGUCCAGACUCCUACGGGAGGCAGCAGUGGGGAAUAUUGGACAAUGGGCGGAAGCCUGAUCCAGCCAUACCGCGUGGGUGGAGAAGGCCUUCGGGUUGUAAAGACCUUUUGUUGGGAAAGAAAAGCAGCAGGUUAAUACCCCGCUGUUCUGGCGGUACCCAAAGAAUAAGCACCGGCUAACUUCGUG